rnacentral:rRNA from 1 species
AUUGAACGCUGGCGGCAUGCUUUACACAUGCAAGUCGAACGGUAACAGGCCGCAAGGUGCUGACGAGUGGCGAACGGGUGAGUAAUGCAUCGGAACGUGCCCAGUCGUGGGGGAUAACUACUCGAAAGAGUAGCUAAUACCGCAUACGAUCUAUGGAUGAAAGCGGGGGACCGUAAGGCCUCGCGCGAUUGGAGCGGCCGAUGUCAGAUUAGGUAGUUGGUGGGGUAAAGGCUCACCAAGCCAACGAUCUGUAGCAGGUCUGAGAGGACAACCAGCCACACUGGGACUGAGACACGGCCCAGACUCCUACGGGAGGCAGCAGUGGGGAAUUUUGGACAAUGGGCGCAAGCCUGAUCCAGCAAUGCCGCGUGCAGGAAGAAGGCCUUCGGGUUGUAAACUGCUUUUGUACGGAACGAAACGGCUCUGGUUAAUACCCGGGGCUAAUGACGGUACCGUAAGAAUAAGCACCGGCUAACUACGUG